GCAUACAGUAAUCGCACGCAGUCGAGCAGAUAGAAAAUUGCAGUAACUUUCUAUUCGAUAAAAAUCCUUCAGAGUAAACCUACUUAAAUUUAGGCCGGUAACUUCCACAGCAGUAAAAUACCAGCCUAAUCGGUUUCCUUUCGUGGGUUUUGCGUGACCUUCACGACAUUCCACACGCAGUCAGAGAUCUACGUCACCAUGCAAGUUUAUGUACCUUGGUACUAUUAUGUGUGGAGUAAUGUCCUUCAGUGCUUCUAAUAAGGCGUGGAGAUGCGGAAGUAAGAAAGGUACGACCAAACCAGUAUACUAACCAUAUCAGCAACAUAUGCAGCACCUAGCCGCAAGCAAUGGCCGCUCGCUUGUUCGUUCAGCCGUUGAGUUCAAGGUUUCAACAGUUCAAGCUUGUGACGAGCUUCGCAGGAUGCAGCCAAGACUUUGAACUGUGAUUUCAUUUAAUUAAACAACAAAUUAUUGAUAUGACAAAAUAUGUUCUAAAUAACUCUGGAUAAAAAAAGUUAACGAUAAAAUGUUUUUCUAUCGUA